rnacentral:rRNA from 1 species
UACGUAGGGGGCAAGCGUUGUCCGGAUUUAUUGGGCGUAAAGAGCGUGUAGGCGGCCGGGUAGGUCAGCUGUGAAAACUCGAGGCUCAACCUCGAGACGUCGGUUGAAACCACCUGGCUAGAGUCCGGAAGAGGAGAGUGGAAUUCCUGGUGUAGCGGUGAAAUGCGCAGAUAUCAGGAAGAACACCCGUGGCGAAGGCGGCUCUCUGGGACGGUACUGACGCUGAGACGCGAAAGCGUGGGGAGCGAACAGG